GGUGAACUGUACUUUGUUGCGAAGAAACUGAACGAACCAAUGAUAAAUUGUGCAUUGUUCCGAGGAUAGAGGGACUGAAAUAUUAUGAUUUUCAGUAUAAAAGGGAUACCGAGUUUUCGUCGAAGAAAGGAGAAUCUAAACUAAUGGAUUACCCGAAAUACGCAUGAAACAGAGCAGGAGGCGCCUUUUCACGAUCUUUCCCGACGUCGCGAUUGUUGCAAUCAACUUUCCGACCAAUUAAAAC